rnacentral:rRNA from 1 species
UACGUAGGGUGCGAGCGUUAUCCGGAAUUAUUGGGCGUAAAGAGCUCGUAGGCGGUUUGUCGCGUCUGUCGUGAAAGUCCGGGGCUUAACCCCGGAUCUGCGGUGGGUACGGGCAGACGUAGAGUGCAGUAGGGGAGACUGGAAUUCCGUGGUGUAGCGGUGGAAUGCGCAGAUAUCAGGAGGAACACCGAUGGCGAAGGCAGGUCUCGUGGGCUGUAACUGACGCUGAGGAGCGAAAGGCAUGGGGAGCGAACAGG